AGCCCAAGAUGAGGGCACUGCCUGAGCAUACUCUUGGAUCUGUCCCAUGCUUCAAAUAAUGAUUCUAAGUCUAUCUGUCUGAAGCUUGCUAUGAUUCCUUAUGUGAGCUU